rnacentral:RNase_P_RNA from 1 species
GCAGCCGGACGGUUCGUCGCCGGCGCUAUGCGCGCAGGAGGAAAGUCCGGGCAACAAGAGCACCAUAUUUCUUAACGGGAAGCUGUCGGUGACGGCAGAGGCAACGUGACAGAAAAUAACCGCCCUGCAAAGGGUAAGGGUGAAAAGGUGGGGUAAGAGCCCACCGGGUGGCAUAGUGAUAUGUCAUGCCGCACGCCUUAUGGGUUGCAAGGUCAAGUAUACCGGCUAUUAAGGACUGCUCGUCCGUUGCCGGGGGGUAGACUGCUUUAGACACAUGGCAACAUGUGCCAUAGAUAAAUGACGAGCAGAACGAGGCUUAGCGAUAUGUUUCGUUCUACAUAACCCGGCUUAUAGUCCGGCUGCUUUC